AUUUACUUGAAAUAAAACGGUUAUUUUUGCUAUAUAAGUUAAAUCAAAAUUUUCAUUGAUUUUUUUUGCAGUUGAUUUCAGGAUUAAAACGGGUAUUUGCAAUCAAGAAAUUUUUUGUUAUUAGGAAAAAAAAAGAAUAAGAGACUUGCAGUCUUCGAAUUUCAAUAACUUUUAGCUGGUAUUGUCGAGUCAAAUUCUUAAAUGAGAAUUAAGACACAGGUGCAAAAAAGGAACAAAAGAAAUAUGGGGGGGACAUCGGGGGAGGAUUUUUAAAUCCAUCGCAAUGCACGCAUCGACCUCUGUAAACUCCGGUCGUAUUGGCGCCGGAAGUACGUCACCGCGGAUUAUUUCUACAGACAGUGACGAGAUGGCACGUCUAUCGCUCUGCGAAACAUAACGAGCUCGUGCGAGAGCAGCCGAAGCGGGCUGGUCGCGGUCGCCAUUUUGUCGGGUAGUAUAAUCGGAAUCAUCUUGUCUCUGUCAUCACGGGUUAUUUCAUCGGUGCCUCCGUGUCUUCGGACGGAGUAUAAAGCCGCCCGUGCCCGUCGUGUACACGCGCCGCAUCCUCACCGGCUCGCUCGUCGCACCGCAAAUGGCUUGUCUGAACACCCUCAAGCAGGAAAUCAAAACGCUCGAAUCCGUCUUCCCCAAGAGCCAUGAGAGGUUUCAGAUAAUGUCUGCGAGCGUGGACGAGCUCAGCUGCAGAUUUGUCGGUAAAAAUGGGAAGAAGUACGAAAUACACGCCAAUAUCACAGAAACUUAUCCUUCAACGCCGCCCGUUUGGUUCGCCGAAUCCGAGGAGACUAGUGUUACGAACGCUGUACAAAUUUUAAGUAACACAACAGGCCGCGACAACCACGUAAUCAAUCAAGUCGGUAUCCUAUUGAAAGAAUUAUGCAGACUACACUCGUUACCGGAACCACCGGACGUGGAGAGGCUGAGAACUGCCUUGGACCCCCUGCGUUUAGGUGGGUCAAAUGAAGCCGUCGCGCAAAGGAUGGACGCCGAAGACCUAGACGAUAUCGAUGAGGACGAAGAGAGUGAGACUGAAGAAGACCUUCAUCUGGACAUGGACGAAGGAGACGCCAAUUCUAAGAGUAAGGUAAAGAGUGAAGAAAUGGAUUUGGAACAUCUUGCGACGUUGGAAAGGUUGAGACAGAACCAGAGACAAGAUUAUUUAAAAGGAUCUGUUUGUGGAAGUGUACAAGCCACCGAUAGACUCAUGAAAGAACUGCGUGAUAUAUAUCGAAGUGACAGCUUUAAAAAGGGAAUGUAUAGCAUAGAACUAGUAAAUGACAGUUUGUAUGAAUGGAAUAUCAGAUUGAUGUGUGUAGAUCCUGAUUCACCACUUCAUAGCGAUCUCAUUCUUUUGAAAGAGAAAGAGGGCAAAGACAGUAUUCUUCUCAACAUGCUUUUCAAGGAAACCUAUCCCUUUGAACCUCCAUUUGUAAGGGUUGUACAUCCCAUCAUAUCCGGUGGAUACGUUCUUGUGGGAGGUGCUAUUUGCAUGGAACUUCUAACAAAACAAGGAUGGAGUUCGGCAUACACAGUAGAAGCUGUUAUAAUGCAGAUUUCAGCAACGUUAGUGAAGGGGAAAGCACGUAUACAGUUCCAAGGAUCAGGUGGCGCCGGUAAAGUGUGUGGUGGACAAGGCCAAUAUAGUUUGGCGCGUGCCCAACAGUCAUUCAAGUCUCUUGUACAAAUACAUGAAAAGAAUGGUUGGUUCACACCCCCGAAAGAGGAUGGCUAAUGAACACCGAUCGCGGAAAAGUACCGAAAAUAUGAUACAUGCUUACAGCUGAGACUUUAAUUCGGGAGAGCACCCGGUUCACGCGGAACAUAAAUAAGCGACCGAAUGUGUAAAACAUGAUACAAGCAUGUAUGGAAAUUACAUCUACGUCUAUACCUGGUUACUGAUCCGCAUUCUCAAAGGUAGAACGACAAAUAAUAUCUGCGUUUCGCUUGAACCGUGGUAUUUGAUCGUAUUCAUUUGAUACUCGAGAUGUAACGACUUUGUGUAUCGUGUUAAGUAUAUGAUAUAACUUAACUCUCAUACAUUAUAACAUUUUCUGACGAGGGUAUAGACUUUUGGAUCGAGGCAAAGUUCGUCGUACGUAUUGAGAGAAAUCAUGAUUGAAAUUUUCUUUAUGUUUGGUUUUCCAUUUGCAAAUUUUUGGAAAAUCGCCACCUCAUCAUUUUCUGCAGACGAUUAUCUCAUUUUUUCUCGAUGUGGACGAUAAUAAUGUGUUCCCUAAGUCUAAACCCAUAAGUUAACUUAUGUCUUUACUCUGUCUGCGUAUCUGCGUAAUGAAUUCAUUGGUCAACUAAGAGAUCGAUUAAUUUUUGUUAAUCGGUCACCGCGCCGUCUCAUUGUCAAUAUCUAUAAUCUUAAGAUUACUCUACGUAUCUUAAAUCUGCUCCACUUGUAUAUCAUACUUUAUUGAUUUGAGUGAAAGUUUCCAUAAUUCUAAUAUAUCGAGCAUUAUACUUUCUUUUCUCCCUCUUUCUCUCUCUCUCUCUUUCUCUCUCUCUCGCUCUUUCUCUUUCUUACACUACAGUUUCAUGUUAAGUUACGUUAAUUAUUGUUUAGGAGAACGCUACGAAACACAAAAAAUAAAGAUUUUAAUAAAAAACUUA
rnacentral:misc_RNA from 1 species